GUCGUAGCUCAGUUGGUAGAGCUUCUGACUUUUAAUCAGAAGAUCACGGGUUCGAGCCCCGUCGGCA
rnacentral:tRNA from 1 species